UGCUUAAGAUAUAGUCGAGUUCUGGGAGAAAUUCCAGCUACAAGCAACUAAAACGUUCCGUAGGUGAACCUGCGGAAGGAUCAUUAACGAGUACGGGUCUGCAUGGCCCCUCUCUCAACCCUUUGCUUACCAGACCUCUGUUGCUUCGGCGGACCCGUCUCGCGAGAGACCGCCGGAGGGUUCACCCCCUCUGGCCAGCGUCCGUCGAUGGCCCUUAUAAACUCAUAAUAAAUGUGUCAUGUCUAAGUACAAACUUAAUUAAAAUAAAACUUUCAACAACGGAUCUCUUGGUUCUGGCAUCGAUGAAGAACGCAGCGAAAUGCGAUAAGUAAUGCGAAUUGCAGAAACCGUGAGUCAUCGAAUCUUUGAACGCACAUUGCGCCCUUUGGUAAUCCGAAGGGCAUGCCUGUUCGAGCGUCAUUAUCACCCCUCAAGCCCCGGCUUGGUGUUGGACAUGGUUAUACCUUUAACUAACCGGUCUCAAAAAUAAUGAUGCCGUCCCUGGAAGUGCACGGUGUACGAGGAGCUUUCUUAAGCAUGUAUACGCGACGACUCCAGGUAUGGUCUACCUUUAAAUUUCUCAAGUGUUGACCUCGGAUCAGGUAGGAAUACCCGCUGAACUUAAGCAUAUCAAUAAGCGGAGGA
rnacentral:rRNA from 1 species